UUGUAAACCUCUUUCGACAGGGACGAAGCGCAAGUGACGGUACCUGUAGAAGAAGCACCGGCCAACUACGUGCCAGCAGCCGCGGUAAUACGUAGGGUGCGAGCGUUGUCCGGAAUUACUGGGCGUAAAGAGCUUGUAGGCGGCUUGUCGCGUCGAUCGUGAAAACUUGGGGCUCAACCCCAAGCUUGCGGUCGAUACGGGCAGGCUUGAGUACUUCAGGGGAGACUGGAAUUCCUGGUGUAGCGGUGAAAUGCGCAGAUAUCAGGAGGAACACCGGUGGCGAAGGCGGGUCUCUGGGAAGUAACUGACGCUGAGAAGCGAAAGCGUGGGUAGCGAACAGGAUUAGAUACCCUGGUAGUCCACGCCGUAAACGGUGGGUACUAGGUGUGGGUUUCCUUCCACGGGAUCCGUGCCGUAGCUAACGCAUUAAGUACCCCGCCUGGGGAGUACGGCCGCAAGGCUAAAACUCAAAGGAAUUGACGGGGGCCCGCACAAGCGGCGGAGCAUGUGGAUUAAUUCGAUGCAACGCGAAGAACCUUACCUGGGUUUGACAUACACCGGGAAACCUGCAGAGAUGUAGGCCCCCUUGUGGUCGGUGUACAGGU
rnacentral:rRNA from 1 species